AUGGGAGCUUGCUCCCUGAUGUUAGCGGCGGACGGGUGAGUAACACGUGGGUAACCUGCCUGUAAGACUGGGAUAACUCCGGGAAACCGGGGCUAAUACCGGAUGGUUGUUUGAACCGCAUGGUUCAAACAUAAAAGGUGGCUUCGGCUACCACUUACAGAUGGACCCGCGGCGCAUUAGCUAGUUGGUGAGGUAACGGCUCACCAAGGCAACGAUGCGUAGCCGACCUGAGAGGGUGAUCGGCCACACUGGGACUGAGACACGGCCCAGACUCCUACGGGAGGCAGCAGUAGGGAAUCUUCCGCAAUGGACGAAAGUCUGACGGAGCAACGCCGCGUGAGUGAUGAAGGUUUUCGGAUCGUAAAGCUCUGUUGUUAGGGAAGAACAAGUACCGUUCGAAUAGGGCGGUACCUUGACGGUACCUAACCAGAAAGCCACGGCUAACUACGUGCCAGCAGCCGCGGUAAUACGUAGGUGGCAAGCGUUGUCCGGAAUUAUUGGGCGUAAAGGGCUCGCAGGCGGUUUCUUAAGUCUGAUGUGAAAGCCCCCGGCUCAACCGGGGAGGGUCAUUGGAAACUGGGGAACUUGAGUGCAGAAGAGGAGAGUGGAAUUCCACGUGUAGCGGUGAAAUGCGUAGAGAUGUGGAGGAACACCAGUGGCGAAGGCGACUCUCUGGUCUGUAACUGACGCUGAGGAGCGAAAGCGUGGGGAGCGAACAGGAUUAGAUACCCUGGUAGUCCACGCCGUAAACGAUGAGUGCUAAGUGUUAAGGGGGUUUCCGCCCCUUAGUGCUGCAGCUAACGCAUUAAGCACUCCGCCUGGGGAGUACGGUCGCAAGACUGAAACUCAAAGGAAUUGACGGGGGCCCGCACAAGCGGUGGAGCAUGUGGUUUAAUUCAAAGCAACGCGAAGAACCUUACCAGGUCUUGACAUCCUCUGACAAUCCUAGAGAUAGGACGUCCCCUUCGGGGGCAGAGUGACAGGUGGUGCAUGGUUGUCGUCAGCUCCUGUCCUGAGAUGUUGGGUUAAGUCCCGCAACCAACCGCAACCCUUGAUCUUAUUUGCCAGCAU
rnacentral:rRNA from 2 species